rnacentral:rRNA from 1 species
ACUCCUACGGGAGGCAGCAGUGGGAAUAUUGGACAAUGGGGAACCGUAGCAUCCAGCCAUGCCGCGUGUGUGAAGAAGGCCUUCGGGUUGUAAAGCACUUUCAGUGGGGAGGAAAGGAUUGAUGGUUAAUACCUAUCAGCUGUGACGUUACCCACAGAAGAAGCACCGGCUAACUCCGUGCCAGCAGCCGCGGUAAUACGGAGGGUGCAAGCGUUAAUCGGAAUUACUGGGCGUAAAGCGUGCGCAGGCGGUCUGUUAAGCGAGAUGUGAAAGCCCCGGCUGCAACC